GCCAGGUGCGGUGGUGCAUGCCUGUAAUCCUAGCAGCUCAGGAGGCUGAGGCAGGAGGAUCUUUAGAGAGACCUGGCUUUA
rnacentral:sRNA from 1 species